rnacentral:hammerhead_ribozyme from 1 species
ACACGUCUGACGAGUCCAAAAUAGGACGAAACGCGCGUCCUGGAU